GAUGAACGCUGGCGGCGUGCCUAACACAUGCAAGUCGAACGUGAGAGGGUAGCAAUAUCCUUGAAAGUGGCGAACGGGUGAGUAACACGUGGGUAACCUGCCCUGAAGUGGGGGAUAACAACUAGAAAUGGUUGCUAACACCGCAUGAGGCUGAGGAAUCGGGAGAUUUCACAGCGAAAACUCUGGUGCUUCUGGUAGGAGGGGCCUGCGGCCGAUUAGCUAGUUGGCGGGGUAAAGGCCCACCAAGGCGACGAUCGGUAGCUGGUCUGAGAGGACGAUCAGCCACACGGGAACUGAGAAACGGUCUCGACUCCUACGGGGGGCAGCAGUGAGGAAUAUUGGGCAAUGGGCUAAAGCCUGACCCAGCAACGCCGCGUGGAGGACGAAGGCCUUCGGGUCGUAAACUCCUUUUACGGGGGAAGAGGAAGGACGGUACCCCGAGAAUAAGUCACGGCUAACUACGUGCCAGCAGCCGCAGUAACAC
rnacentral:rRNA from 1 species